GUUUAAAUAGCUUAAAAUUUAAAGCUUUUUAUUGAAGAUAAAAUAAUGAUUUAAUUAAAUCUUUAAACA
rnacentral:tRNA from 1 species